rnacentral:tRNA from 1 species
GAUGCAGUAGCUCAGUGGUGGAGCCCCGGCUCUGCAUACGAGGAAACCUGGGUUCGAUUCCCGGCUGCUUUC